UCUCCUUACCAGCCCUCGACCUUAUUCAUUCAGUUUUCUCGUCCCAUUUCUCUCAUCUCUAGAAAUCAACCCCAAAAUCGCAACGAGCACGAGCCCCAAAUCCCGACGACUACUGUUGCCACAAAUUCCAGCAACGCUGGUGACCUCCUCUAGCCCAACGACCUCCACGUCCCCAUCCUCCGUCUCUUGUUCCAAGCCCCACGGUGGCCGCUCAUCCAUCAGCGCGACCAUGCGGCAACCAGCGCUCGUCGCCAUGGCCGACUGCAGCUGGUUGCGCUCCUGUUCAUGGCCGCCGCCGCAGGAUUUGCUACAAGCAUGCUUUGUUUUUUGCAGGAACCAGCCCAUGUAUUUUGCUAUCACCCACCAUCCAAAAUUUGCUACCACGUUAGUUUUUGCUGGAACCGGCGAACCAUUUUGCUACAACCGUUUUGGUUUUUGUUACUACCGGUGUUUUGUGCAUUUAUGCUACAUCCAUCUUCAUGACAUCGCUGUUUUUCCAGUCGAUUUUUUGCUACAACCAUGUUAUGAUUUUGUUGGAACCGAAGAUAAUUUUUGCUGGAACCGACUCAUAUUUUUGCUACCACCCACCCCGCCCAAAAUCUGCUCCCACCGUAUUUUUGCUGGAACCGGCUAACGAUUUUGCUACAACUAUGUUGCUUUUUUGUUACUGCCGGUGUUUGUCGAAUUUUUGCUACAUCCCAUCUCCAUGAACAUGCGGGACCCGCGACUGUGUAUUUUGAUGCAACCUUUUUGUCAGUUUUUGUUACCACAGCGUUGCUCAACGGUGGCGAUGGAUUUUUUUUUGGGAACCGGGGCUGCCCCUCGAAAGCGAGAAUGGAGUGGCGGUGAGCUUCGAGGCCGGCGUCAAGCUCAUCCAUGGCGGGGGAGGGGUGGGGUCAGCGGGGGCUCAGUCGUCGGGCGGAGGGUUCUUUCGCGUCUGGCGUGCGGCGGCGCGAGGUGGGAGAUGCGGGGAGGACAAAGAAAAAAAGGAGCUCGAUCAAACGGCUGAUAAGACGCGCAUCUGACGGCUAGGGGUCGACCGGGCCGAACGGUUCGGCCGGUGCGCCGGCGCCUAGCACUGCCCAUUAUGUAAUGGCUGGUAUCUUCCCUGUUGCCUGGGAUCAUGGGGCUCGCCAGCUUCAGCUUUACACAGCGCACAGCGGCAUGUUCCUGGGUGACGUUUUGCCCGGCGAGAAGCUGAGGAGGACGCCAGUCCUGGAGCUGUGCAGAGCAGUCUAGAGGUGAACCGGAACGGCGCGCCGGUGCUGCCGUCUCUGACGACCCCUUCCUGAAGAAGGGGGUGGUUGGCGACUGGCGCAUCCACAUGACGCUCGCCGUGCCUGCUCCAGCCACCGUCUCGCGGCCGGAAGGUGAUGUACCGAGCAUCCUUCAGCUUUAGGGCCUGUUCGGCAACCCUCUAGCUCCCUCAGAUCUUCAACUCCUCAGCUCAACUCCUCCGCCCAACUCCUCGUUGAAAAAACCCAGAGUUCAGAAACGUUUGGCAGCACAGCUUCUCGAUCGGGAGCACUGGCGUGGGCUGGCAGCUGAUUCGGUUUUGAUGUGUCCCAGCUCGAGCGAUAAGCUGCAGCGAACCGGUACGCUAGCUCACUUGGCGGUGGCACGCAGCCGUAAUUCCAGUCAACUCUCGCUCCUUUGAUUUUUCAGAGCAGUAGAUGUCUAGCUCCUCAGCUCCUCGUAAAAUACAGUACGCUCCGCUCCCAGCUUCUUUUUCUUAACUCCAGGAGUUAACCCGUUCGGCACAGCUCCAAAGCUGGAGUUAGUGGAGUUGGGAGCUGAAGAGAAGAGCAACCGAACAGGCUCUUAGCAUCAACAAUCAAAAUAUACUAAUUUUACAGCUA